CCCUGCUCUGCUUUGCUUAUGCCUGCGUUUCCUGCUGGGUAGCAGCUCCCGUUCUUCCAGCCUUCCUGGGUCCCCCACCACCUGACCCCCCCACCCCAGAGCAUCCUGAACGACCUGGAAAAUACUCAGGGGUACUGCUCUCCUCUCCACCCUCCCUCCUUUAGCAGGGGCCACAGAUCUCCCAGGCCCAGGUAGCAUGGACUCCUAACCCUAAGAAACCCUAAGUACAGGAGAAAGGGUUGGGCCAAGAAUCCCUGGACAACUUAGGGGUCCUGUUGACCCAGCUGACCCACCCAGCAGGCUGGGGUCCUGGGGGCAGCCCCUGUGGAGCUGGACAAUGCUCCUUCCUCCCUAGGGUGCUCUUGGCAAGGAAAGGGGGUUGUGAUGCGCAUGAGGUCACAGAGCCCCAAGGUGCCCUCAGGGAGAGAGCCCAACUCUGGGUAUGAACUUCGACCAGAAGGCUGUGAAAUUCCUGGCCAAUUUUUACAUCAAUGGAGGCAAAUACUGGACGCACGGCCCCCUGAGACAAAAAAGGCCCGAGGCUGCCCUGCUGUCCUGGGGUGCAGAUGAGAUGAGGCCCGUGAGCAGGAAGAGGGCCCCAGUGGGUCGGAAGUCAGACGUGGGGUCCCCUGGGGCGUGCCCGCCCGCCUGCACCCGGACUCUGCGGGGGCUGCUGCUGGAGCAGCGUCCUCCGCUCCAGGCCGACCCGGACGUUCCGGGCCCAGCCGAGUACACGCCCAGAGCCUUCGUGCGGGAAAGCUCCCCGCAUCCUCAUUACAGCACCGGUUGCAGGUACCCGGGCCCAGGUACGUCCCUGCCUCUCCCAGAGGGGGGGGCCCCCGGGAGCCCUCACUGACUCCCUCGAGCCCAUAGACGGC
rnacentral:lncRNA from 1 species